rnacentral:rRNA from 1 species
GAAGGGCCGAGCGUUGCGCGGAAUCAUUGGGCUUAAAGGGGUGCGUAGGCGGACUUGUAAGUGCUUUGUGAAAGCCCCUGGGCUCAACCGGGGAAUUGCUUAGUAGACUGCAAGUCUUGAGGUCGGUAGAGGUUGUCGGAACCAUAGGUGUAGCGGUGAAAUGCGUAGAUAUCUAUGGGAACGCCGAAGGAGUAAUCAGGCAACUGGGCCGAUUCUGACGCUGAGGCACGAAAGCGUGGGUAGCGAAGAGGAUUAGAUACCCUCGUAGUCCACGCCCUAAACGAUGUGCACUAGGUCUUGGAGGUUCUGACACCUGCAGGGCCGACGUUAAAACAAUAAGUGCACCGCCUGGGGAGUACGGUCGCAAGAUUA